UGACCGAGCACGCCGCGUGAGUGAGAAGGUUUUCGGAUCGUAAAGCUCUGUUGUAAGAGAAGAACGAGUGUGAGAGUGGAAAGUUCACACUGUGACGGUAUCUUACCAGAAAGGGACGGCUAACUACGUGCCAGCAGCCGCGGUAAUACGUAGGUCCCGAGCGUUGUCCGGAUUUAUUGGGCGUAAAGCGAGCGCAGGCGGUUAGAUAAGUCUGAAGUUAAAGGCUGUGGCUUAACCAUAGUACGCUUUGGAAACUGUUUAACUUGAGUGCAAGAGGGGAGAGUGGAAUUCCAUGUGUAGCGGUGAAAUGCGUAGAUAUAUGGAGGAACACCGGUGGCGAAAGCGGCUCUCUGGCUUGUAACUGACGCUGAGGCUCGAAAGCGUGGGGAGCAAACA
rnacentral:rRNA from 1 species